rnacentral:rRNA from 1 species
UACGUAGGGUGCGAGCGUUAAUCGGAAUUACUGGGCGUAAAGCGUGCGCAGGCGGUUUUGUAAGUCUGUCGUGAAAGCCCCGGGCUCAACCUGGGAAUUGCGAUGGAGACUGCAAGGCUUGAAUCUGGCAGAGGGGGGUAGAAUUCCACGUGUAGCAGUGAAAUGCGUAGAGAUGUGGAGGAACACCGAUGGCGAAGGCAGCCCCUGGGUCAAGAUUGACGCUCAUGCACGAAAGCGUGGGGAGCAAACAGG